UCCGAUCACGUUCCAAAAGUAUAUGACAUGGGCCAAAGUUUAGUAAAUUAAAAAAGUAAUAUGACUUUGUAUAUUCCGAAAUUGAGCUAAAAAAUUUCAAAUGAAAUGAAUUACACGACACGUAUUUGGGUUUCCUGAAGAUGAAGAAGAGAGAAUUGAAAGUGCGGUUGGUAAGGCCAGAGUUUUGGGUGGUGGUAAU
rnacentral:lncRNA from 1 species